rfam:Canis lupus familiaris chromosome 8, whole genome shotgun sequence.
AGGAGGAACAACCGCAGUGGCGGGGCCAGCUCUGCAGCCCUGGAGUCAGCCCCCGCAGUAGCUCCGUUGCUCUCCGUCUGCAGGGCCUGGAGGCUCCGGGGCGGG